rnacentral:lncRNA from 1 species
CGCGAACUCACGAAGCCGUGGGAAGCUCCCGUGUCAAAUAGAGUGUGAGCUACCUCACCUCCAACAGAAACCGAUUCUACACACAAUUUUAUUUUCUAACUACACAUAAUAACCACAAAAACACAAAUACUCAAAAAAAAACGAGCAUGAGAAAGAUACAUACCGACUAUCGACUCAGCUUCAUUGGCCUCUCCUAAAGCAUAAACACGCGGAGUAAUGGCUUCACGCUUGGCCGCAGGCCCCUUAGUCAGGCAGUACCUAGAGAUAUGGCCAAACUGGCCACAAGUGAAGCAAGCUCCUGGUGCGUACGCUGCAGCUGCAUGUGCUAUCUGUGCUACGGUGCUGCAUGUGCUGCUGGUGGUACACCCCGCGCACCAAAUGGCCUACUCUGACAAGCCCUACUUUUAUGUCCCAUCUUUCCACAGUUGAAGCACUGGAUGCACUCUCCAAAAUGGUGGUGAUGGCACUUGUUGCAACUAGGUGCUCCUAAAUGUUCCCAUGUUCUCUUUUGUGGCUCUAAACUUUUUCCCGACUUAGGUUGAGCUGCUUUGGAGAAUUUCUGCUCCUCAGCAAUACAUGCCUCUUGCAUAGCAGCCUUCUCUACCAGAUCCUCCAAGCUGAUGUAAGUAACCAUACUGCACCUGCCGCGGAGAUCAACUUGCACCCUAUCUAAGAACCUCCUGAUCAAGUCCUCCG